rnacentral:rRNA from 1 species
UACAUGUGGGGCAAGCGUUGUUCGGAAUUACUGGGCAUAAAGGGCGCGUAGGCGGAUGGUCAAGUCGGGGGUGAAAUCUUUCAGCUUAACUGGAAAAGUGCCUCCGAUACUGAUCGUCUCGAGGGAGGUAGGGGCAUGUGGAACUUCCGGUGGAGCGGUGAAAUGCGUAGAUAUCGGAAGGAACGCCGGUGGCGAAAGCGACGUGCUGGACCUCUUCUGACGCUGAGGCGCGAAAGCUAGGGGAGCAAACGGG